rnacentral:rRNA from 1 species
ACUCCUACGGGAGGCAGCAGUGGGGAAUAUUGCACAAUGGGCGCAAGCCUGAUGCAGCCAUGCCGCGUGUAUGAAGAAGGCCUCGGUUGUAAAGUACUUUCUAGCAGUGAGGAAGGUGGGUAGUGUUAAUAGCAUAUUCAUUUGUACGUUAGCUGCAGAAGAAGCACCGGCUAACUCCGUGCCAGCAGCCGCGGUAAUACGGAGGGUGCGAGCGUUAAUCGGAAUUACUGGGCGUAAAGCGCAUGCAGGUGGUUUGUUAAGUCAGAUGUGAAAGCCCGGGGCUCAACCUCGGAAUUGCAUUUGAAACUGGCAAACUAGAGUACUGUAGAGGGGGUA